rnacentral:lncRNA from 1 species
UGUUGUGUUUCCGAUCACCCCCUUGAAAUUUUGAAGGGACGGUAGGUAGGGAUUUUUUUUUUUUUUUUUUAUUUUUUUUAUUUUUUUUUAUAUAAUAUUAUGCUUCAUUGCUGUCUCGGUUUUGUUUAAAGGCAUGGACACUUUGUUCAUUGCUUAAGACCAUUUGACAAUUUCCAAGAUUAUUGUGUGAGUUUUUAUCAGCCUUUAAUAGUUUACCCCCUUUUAAAAU